AAAUUGAAGAGUUUGAUCAUGGCUCAGAUUGAACGCUGGCGGCAGGCCUAACACAUGCAAGUCGAACGGUAACAGGAAGCAGCUUACUGCUUUGCUGACGAGUGGCGGACGGGUGAGUAAUGUCUGGGAAACUGCCUGAUGGAGGGGGAUAACUACUGGAAACGGUAGCUAAUACCGCAUAACGUCGCAAGACCAAAGAGGGGGACCUUCGGGCCUCUUGCCAUCGGAUGUGCCCAGAUGGGAUUAGCUAGUAGGUGGGGUAA
rnacentral:rRNA from 1 species